rnacentral:rRNA from 1 species
GAUGAACGCUGGCGGCGUGCCUAAUACAUGCAAGUCGAGCGAACGGACGAGAAGCUUGCUUCUCUGAUGUUAGCGGCGGACGGGUGAGUAACACGUGGAUAACCUACCUAUAAGACUGGGAUAACUUCGGGAAACCGGAGCUAAUACCGGAUAAUAUUUUGAACCGCAUGGUUCAAAAGUGAAAGACGGUCUUGCUGUCACUUAUAGAUGGAUCCGCGCUGCAUUAGCUAGUUGGUAAGGUAACGGCUUACCAAGGCAACGAUGCAUAGCCGACCUGAGAGGGUGAUCGGCCACACUGGAACUGAGACACGGUCCAGUCUCCUACGGGAGGCAGCAGUAGGGAAUCUUCAGCAAUGGGCGAAAGCCUGACGGAGCAACGCCGCGUGAGUGAUGAAGGUCUUCGGAUCGUAAAACUCUGUUAUUAGGGAAGAACAUAUGUGUAAGUAACUGUGCACAUCUUGACGGUACCUAAUCAGAAAGCCACGGCUAACUACGUG